rnacentral:rRNA from 1 species
GGGAUGGACGUACCUCUGGUGUGCCAGUUGUUCUGCCAAGAGCACGGCUGGUUGGCUACGUACGGAACGGAUAAGCGCUGAAGGCAUCUAAGCGCGAAGCCGGCCUCGAGAUGAGAACUCCCACCGGUAAAACGGUUAAGGCCCCUGGCAGAACACCAGGUUGAUAGGCCGGACGUGGAAGUGGAGUAAUCCAUGAAGCUGACCGGUACUAAUAGGCCGAGGACUUGGUCUG